rnacentral:miRNA from 1 species
CGACCCCAUAGGCUUGUACUU